rnacentral:rRNA from 1 species
AAAUUGAAGAGUUUGAUCAUGGCUCAGAUUGAACGCUGGCGGCAGGCCUAACACAUGCAAGUCGAGCGGCAGCGGGAAAGUAGCUUGCUACUUUUGCCGGCGAGCGGCGGACGGGUGAGUAAUGCCUGGGGAUCUGCCCAGUCGAGGGGGAUAACAGUUGGAAACGACUGCUAAUACCGCAUACGCCUACGGGGGAAAGGAGGGGACCUUCGGGCCUUUCGCGAUUGGAUGAACCCAGGUGGGAUUAGCUAGUUGGUGGGGUAAUGGCUCACCAAGGCGACGAUCCCUAGCUGGUCUGAGAGGAUGAUCAGCCACACUGGAACUGAGACACGGUCCAGACUCCUAC